CAGCAGCCGCGGGAAUACGGAGGGAGCUAGCGUUGUUCGGAAUUACUGGGCGUAAAGCGCACGUAGGCGGCUUUGUAAGUUAGAGGUGAAAGCCUGGAGCUCAACUCCAGAACUGCCUUUAAGACUGCAUCGCUUGAAUCCAGGAGAGGUGUGUGGAACUCCGAGUGUAGAGGUGAAAUUCGUAGAUAUUCGGAAGAACACCAGUGGCGAAGGCGACACACUGGCCCGUAACUGACGCUGAGGCGCGAAAGCGUGGGGAGCAAACAGGAUUAGAUACCCGCGUAGUCCCUGUCUCUUAUAC
rnacentral:rRNA from 1 species